rnacentral:misc_RNA from 1 species
GAUGAAGAACGCAGUGAAAUGCGAUACGUAAUGUGAAUUGCAGAAUUCAGUGAAUCAUCGAAUCUUUGAACACACAUUGCGCCCAUUAGUAUUCUAGUGGGCAUGCCUGUUCGAGCGUCAUUAAGUCCACUUAAGCCCUGCUUAGUGUUGGGAGACUGCUCCAGCGGUGCUACCCUGUAGCUACCCUGCAGCUCCUCAAAGACAGCGGCGGAGUUGUGGUAUCCUCUGAGCUUAGUAACUUGUUCUAGCUUUCGAGUACACCACUUCCCCUGCCGUAAAACCCUUAAUUUUUAAUGGUUGACCUCGGAUCAGGUAGGAAUACCCGCUGAACUUAAGCAUAUCAAUAAGCGGAGGA